rnacentral:rRNA from 1 species
GACGAACGCUGGCGGCGUGCUUAACACAUGCAAGUCGAACGGAAAGGCCCUGCUUUUGUGGGGUGCUCGAGUGGCGAACGGGUGAGUAACACGUGAGUAACCUGCCCUUGACUUUGGGAUAACUUCAGGAAACUGGGGCUAAUACCGGAUAGGAGCUCCUGCUGCAUGGUGGGGGUUGGAAAGUUUCGGCGGUUGGGGAUGGACUCGCGGCUUAUCAGCUUGUUGGUGGGGUAGUGGCUUACCAAGGCUUUGACGGGUAGCCGGCCUGAGAGGGUGACCGGCCACAUUGGGACUGAGAUACGCCCCAGACUCCUACGGGAGGCAGCAGUGGGGAAUAUUGCACAGUGGGCGGAAGCCUGAUGCAGCAACGCCGCGUGCGGGAUGACGGCCUUCGGGUUGUAAACCGCUUUCGCCUGUGACGAAGCGUGAGUGACGGUAAUGGGUAAAGAAGCACCGGCUAACUACGUG